GGGUUAUUUUUUUUGGUUUUAUUAUGUCGUAGAUUGAACGCUGGCGGCAGGCCUAACACAUGCAAGUCGAGCGGAAACGAGUUAUCUGAACCUUCGGGGAACGAUAACGGCGUCGAGCGGCGGACGGGUGAGUAAUGCCUAGGAAAUUGCCCUGAUGUGGGGGAUAACCAUUGGAAACGAUGGCUAAUACCGCAUAAUACCUACGGGUCAAAGAGGGGGACCUUCGGGCCUCUCGCGUCAGGAUAUGCCUAGGUGGGAUUAGCUAGUUGGUGAGGUAAUGGCUCACCAAGGCGACGAUCCCUAGCUGGUCUGAGAGGAUGAUCAGCCACACUGGAACUGAGACACGGUCCAGACUCCUACGGGAGGCAGCAGUGGGGAAUAUUGCACAAUGGGCGCAAGCCUGAUGCAGCCAUGCCGCGUGUGUGAAGAAGGCCUUCGGGUUGUAAAGCACUUUCAGUCGUGAGGAAGGUAGUGUAGUUAAUAGCUGCAUUAUUUGACGUUAGCGACAGAAGAAGCACCGGCUAACUCCGUGCCAGCAGCCGCGGUAAUACGGAGGGUGCGAGCGUUAAUCGGAAUUACUGGGCGUAAAGCGCAUGCAGGUGGUUUGUUAAGUCAGAUGUGAAAGCCCGGGGCUCAACCUCGGAAUAGCAUUUGAAACUGGCAGACUAGAGUACUGUAGAGGGGGGUAGAAUUUCAGGUGUAGCGGUGAAAUGCGUAGAGAUCUGAAGGAAUACCGGUGGCGAAGGCGGCCCCCUGGACAGAUACUGACACUCAGAUGCGAAAGGAGGG
rnacentral:rRNA from 1 species